rnacentral:lncRNA from 1 species
GGUUUGGCCACAACACUUGUGCAUAUAUCCUCUUUCUAAGUAAACUCUUUUAUCAAAUUGAGUUAUUAAAAUUUUAAAGCUUUUAAACAAACUUCCUAGUCUCUUUCCUAUAUGUGAUACUUUGACUAAGAUAAGUUCAUUUAUAUGAUCAUAUUCACUAUUUAACGUGUAUAAAUUUGUUUAAAUCCAAAUAAAGUCUAUUUUUAUUAAAUAAGUUCU